CGGAGGUACUCGAGUGGCGAACGGGUGAGUAACACGUGGGUGAUCUGCCCUGCACUCUGGGAUAAGCCUGGUAAACUGGGUCUAAUACCGGAUAGGACCGCACUUUAGUGUGUGUGGUGGAAAGUUUUUUCGGUGUAGGAUGAGCCCGCGGCCUAUCAGCUUGUUGGUGGGGUAAUGGCCUACCAAGGCGGCGACGGGUAGCCGGACUGAGAGGUUGGUCGGCCACAUUGGGACUGAGAUACGGCCCAG
rnacentral:rRNA from 1 species